UGACAGUACUCCUACGGGGAGGCAGCAGUGGGGGAAUAUUGCACAAUGGGCGCAAGCCUGAUGCAGCCAUGCCGCGUGUGUGAAGAAGGACCUUCCGGGUUGUAAAGCACUUUCAGUCGUGAGGAAGGUAGUGUAGUUAAUAGCUGCAUUAUUUGACGUUAGCGACAGAAGAAGCACCGGCUAACUCCGUGCCAGCAGCCGCGGUAAUACGGAGGGUGCGAGCGUUAAUCGGAAUUACUGGGCGUAAAGCGCAUGCAGGUGGUUUGUUAAGUCAGAUGUGAAAGACCCGGGGCUCAACCUCGGAAUAGCAUUUGAAACUGGCAGACUAGAGUACUGUAGAGGGGGGUAGGAAUUUCAGGUGUAGCGGUGAAAUGCGUAGAGAUCUGAAGGAAUACCGGUGGCGAAGGCGGCCCCCUGGACAGAUACUGACACUCAGAUGCGAAAGCGUGGGGAGCAAACAGGAUUAGAUACCCUGGUAG
rnacentral:rRNA from 1 species